rnacentral:rRNA from 1 species
CUACGGGGGGCUGCAGUGAGGAAUAUUGCACAAUGGGGGGAACCCUGAUGCAGCAACGCCGCGUGGAGGAUGACGCAUUUCGGUGUGUAAACUCCUUUUAUAUGUCAAGAAAAUGACGGUAGCAUAUGCAUAAGCGCCGGCUAACUCCGUGCCAGCAGCCGCGGUAAUACGGAGGGCGCAAGCGUUACUCGGAAUCACUGGGCGUAAAGGACGCGUAGGCGGGUUGAAAAGUCAGGUGUGAAAGCCUACAGCUUAACUGUAGAACUGCACUUGAAACUCUCAAUCUAGAGUAUGGGAGGGGCAGAUGGAAUUAGUGGUGUAGGGGUAAAAUCCGUAGAUAUCACUAGGAAUACCUAAAGCGAAGGCGAUCUGCUGGAACAUUACUGACGCUAAGGCGUGAAAGCGUGGGGAGCAAACAGGAUUAGAUACCCUAGUAGUC